AAACAUAUAUUUACUCAAGUAUUACACAAGCAAUAACAUCAUAGACUUUCAUUCACAACAAUAUCUUGAGUUGGAGAGAUAUUUAUAUAUAAUAUAUAUGGGACCAUUCUCCAUCGUGUACAGUAAGGAGGGGGUAAAUAGUCACAUACUGAGAUAUAAAUCGUAGGAUAGGGCGGCCGCGUUUUGGUUGUAUCAAACUUGGUAAGUAAGAAUACUUUUAAUUCAAAUUUUGUAGUUAUUUUACUAUAAUUAUCAGAAAACAAUCAUGUCAUAUUAUUGUUUUCUCUCUUUCUGUUUUUUUUUUUAAAUGCUGCAAGUCUACACACUAAAUUCAUGUAAAAAUUCUACAUUUUUUUUAGUAAAAUCCCAGGAAGCUAUAAUUUAAAGUCACCGUUAACAUGUGUCUUAUGUUUGAUGUUAGUUAACAGACUUUCUAUAGCUUUUACUAUAAUUUCCUCGGUUAAACUAUUAAUGACAUUAAUAUAACACAGUGUUUAACAACCAAACAUAGUUAUUUCACUGAUUUAGUUAAUAAUAAAUAUGACAUUUAACAAAACAUUAACUGCAAUAUUAACAUUACACUAAAAUACAUCCAUAAAAUUUUUUGUUUUCCUUCCAUCCAUACACAUGCAUGUAAAUGUUAAAUAUAACAUGUUUUAUAAAAGAAAAUGUUGGUAUUAAUAAGAGUAUGAAUGUAUUAUCAUUAAUACUGGGCCUUAUAGUUAUCUUUAGAUCAUGGUUUUUGAUUUUUUUAAUAUUCAUGUAUCGGACCCCUAUAAUAAGUAAUUUUUCAAAUAGUAGCCUUGUCCCACAAAACACAUUUUCAGGUUAAUCUAAGAUUCUAAUAUUUCCUCCCAAAUAACAUCUUGGAUUUAGAAUCAACAUUGUUCAGACUGUACCUGACUUGUAACAUGAUUUUCCUACCAAGGCAGACAGGGGUUACAUGUAAUUAGUAAUAUACACAUUACAUAAAUACUCACACACUGGAGUUACUGUAUACACAACACAAACUCCUCUGAAUACUCAUGUCACACACACUUUACACAACACAAACUCCUCUGAAUACUCAUGUCACACACACUUUACACAACACAAACUCCUCUGAAUACUCAUGUCACACACACUUUACACAACACAAACUCCUCUGAAUACUCAUGUCACACACACUUUACACAACACAACUCCUCUGAAUACUCAUGUCACACACACUUUACACAACACAAACUACUCUGAAUACUCAUGUCACACACACUUUACACAACACAAACUCCUCUGAAUACUCAUGUCACACACACUUUACACAACACAAACACCUCUGAAUACUCAUGUCACACACACUUUACACAACACAAACACCUCUGAAUACUCAUGUCACACACACACUUUACACAACACAAACUCAUCUGAAUACUCAUGUCACACACACUUUACACAACACAAACUCAUCUGAAUACUCAUGUCACACACACACUUUACACAACACAAACUCAUCUGAAUACUCAUGUCACACACACUUUACACAACACAAACACCUCUGAAUACUCAUGUCACACACACACUUUACACAACACAAACUCAUCUGAAUACUCAUGCCACACACACUUUACACAACACAAACUCCUCUGAAUACUCAUGUCACACACACUUUACACAACACAAACUCCUCUGAAUACUCAUGUCACACACACUUUACACAACACAAACUCCUCUGAAUACUCAUGUCACACACACAUUUGUACCUAUCAUAGCUUGUUUAUAUGAUAAGUAUAAAUACUCACCUUACCUGAUGCACCUUGAUACCUACUUUGUAACUCAUAACUCAUGUUAGACAAACUUACUGUAUACCUGACACACCUGUAUAUCUUUCUCGCAUCCUUCGAUAUGCAAUAUGGUAUUGCACGGUUAGUGGUCUAAUCACCAACUAUAAUAAAUUAUUACACAUUCCACAUCUGAAUGCAAAAAUAUAUGGUGAAAGCUGGCAUAUAUCAAAUUUGGAUAAAUAAUAAAUAAAAUAGUACUUUUUAUAAAAAUCUGUUAGCCAUUAAACAUGGCUAUAUAUGUUUAACAACAGCACUUUUAGUGUUAAAACAUCUCAAUAACAGUGAUUAUGUAAUACAUGCUGUCAGCAUCAGUAAUAACCAAGCUGGUGAUAACAGGAGAUAAGGAAGGUGACAUGCAUCCAACAAUAAUACAAACUUCAGGAUUACAUCACAGCAGUUAGAUUAAUCACCCACUAAGUUGGCAGUGUCAGAUUUCAUAAAAUCUGUUUGAUCAAAAACCAAAUAUGUUGGAAAAGGGAGAUAACUACUUCAUUUGACAAUAAAAAUAUACAGCACCAACAAAUGUUUAUUGUAGUAAAUGUCAACUGACAUAACUAGGUACUAAAAACCACUCAAAUCAGCAUUUAGCCGGCAGGAGUUUUGUGGAGAGAAAAAAGUAUGAACCAUGUUCACAAGAAAGGAAACAUAGGUCGUCAAAAGUAGGUCAAUUUAAAGGUCUGCAAAUGUAAAACUAAUGGAAAGGUCUCGUCACAAGGAACACUCAUCGGAGUAAAACUAAUGGAAAGGUCUCGUCACAAGGAACACUCAUCCGAG